rnacentral:rRNA from 1 species
AACGAACGCUGGCGGCAUGCCUAACACAUGCAAGUCGAACGAGUGGCGGACGGGUGAGUAAUGUCUGGGAAACUGCCUGACGGAGGGGGCUAACUACUGGAAACGGUAGCUAAUACCGCAUACCAUGAGAUGUGCCCAGAUGGGAUGAUCUCGGUGGUGUGGCAACGGCUCACCAAGGCUACGAUCCCUAGCUGGUCGGCGAGGAUGACCGUCCACACUGGAACUGAGACACGUUCCAAACUCCUACGGGAGGCAGCAGUGGGGAAUAUUACACAAUGGGCGAAAGCCUGAUCCAGCAAAGCCGCGUGUAUGAAGAAGGCCUUCGGGUUGUAAAGUCCUUUCGGCGGGUAGGCGUUACCCGCCGAGGAAGCACCGGCUAACUCCGUGCCAGCAGCCGCGGUAAUUC